CCUUGAUUUAGUUGAUCUACCUUCGUCUGCCAGGACGGCAGUGUGCUUACAACUCUAGAGUUCUGCGUGUUUGGCUUGCGUCUGAUGCUGUCCAGAUUUUGGGUGAAGAAAAAGUUAUUGCAAAUGUUUCUCAUUCAUCCUAGAUUUCUAAAGUUUGAAGAACGGUAGAAUUUGCUAAGAUAAUCUACUCGGUAAAGAGAAGGGAUCGUGAAUGCUUUAUUGCUGGACGGUAUAUGCAGCCCAGGCAAAUGCCAACCAAUCAGGAGUUGGAGGUAAGAGUAGGAUCGAGUAGAAUAUAGAAAAAAGGACAACAACAACAACAAAAACUUGGAAUGCAACAGUGCAGUGCAGAGAAUCAACGUAUAAUGUGUUGGUAUCUUAUCCUCUUUUUUUUUUCGACAAGUGCACAUUUCGUUUAGUGAGUUUUAGAGCGAACUCUGUUUCGAUACCGAACGAGGCCACAACAGCCACAACUGCCUUUUCGUUCUAAUUUCGCUGUUGUUCAUCAGUUCAGUCCUUGGCAUCAAUGCAGAUCCAAAAACUGAAAAAUGCAUCUUUGUGAGAAAUGACACACACACUAGCACUGCGUACUACCUGCGUCGUUCGCAGGCUGUGACCCAAAAUCAACAGCCAGAAAAAUCUGCUGCAAACAAUUGUAGCAAAUGGUUUGCGUUAUAGCCCCAUGUUCGUGUACCUGCCCAUCGCCAGUGGGGAAACAAAAGGUCGAGACCAAAGUCGAUGAUUCGAGAAUUUUCAAGCGGCCGUCGUUGCUGGAUGGGGAACGUCCAAGUAAACAUGCCUGCCUAAUGAGGUGACGUAGGUGGUCCUCUUUACGUGAACGGUGUUCAAGUUGGCAUUACCAUUUGGGACUAUGCGUUUGUGGUAUAGUCCUGACUAACUUGCUGGAAUGUAUACACGAAUCCCAACUUAUCUUGGCUGGACGUGGACAUUUAAACUAACACGACUCUGAACUUGGUUUUAAUUGACUUUGACAUAUAUCGACUAUAAAAUACAUCGACGACAUAUAUCGACUAUAUAUCACUAUAAAAUUAUUCAUUCAGCAGCAAUUUCAUGGGUGUGUUUAAUGAAACGAGUGAUUAAAUUGUUGAAAUAAGAUGUAGUUAAAUACUAAUGAACGCCGGAGUAAUGCUGCGAUGUCUAAUCGUACCUGGAGAAACAUUUCAUCCUUGAAACGAGUUUCUAUUUCUGUAUUUCUCUGCGGUUUACGUAUUCUUCGGAAAAUUCACAACGGAGAGCGAUUUCAAAACGGAGAGCCAUUCCUCCUUUCUUUGGCCAGCAUUUCCUGCUGUAGGGAUGGGGCCGUUUAUUUAGGUGUCCCUUCCCAAUUCUUCCUCGAGGAAGAGAGACAAAACAAAAAAUCAUUACGUAUAAUGGCUGCCGAGGACGGUAGUGUGCUGAUAAUUCCGAGCGCCAAAGACUUAAGUUUGCAACAUUUCCGCUUGUGAUUGUAUUUCCUGUGGUCUUUGGUGUCGAAAACGUCACGAGAAGGUUCAUGAAAACAAUUUAAGCAUUAUUUGAAGCCAUUUGCUGAUUGACUGUGUGCUUAGAUUAAUGAGUCUACUGCUAUUAUUUAGGGAAGUGUUUGGGGGGCUAAACUGUCUUAUGUCUGAUGUUACCUGUCCACAUUAGGUGGACAACAAAACAUCGUAGAAGUUUCUCAUCAAUGGCAAACUCUGAAGCUUACAAAUAUCAGGUGAUGGUACAGUUUGGCAAACUUCUGUAGUUGAGUUGUAUUUAGUUGACCUACCUGCGUCUGCCUCAUAUAAUAACUCUGGGUUCUGCGUGGUUGUUCUGUGUUUGAUGUCACUUGUUCAUAUCAUACAUGGGUGGAUAAAAAGUUCAAGUAAAUGUUUCUCUUUAAUCGCAGAUUUCUAAAGUUUGAAGAACGGUAGAAUUUUCUAAAUUGAUCUACUCGGUAAAGCGAAGGGAUCGUGAAUAUUCAAACUAUCUAUCGGAGAUCGGUUUAGACAGCAAUGCGCUGGCCGCUAUAUGCAGUCCAGGCAUCUAAAUGCUA